CCCUUAGAUGUUCUGGGCCGCACGCGCGCUACACUGACGAAUGCAACGAGCUUAUAACCUUGGCCGAACGGUCUGGGUAAUCUCCAAAUUUCGUCGUGAUGGGGAUAGAUUAUUGCAAUUAUUAAUCUUCAACGAGGAAUGCCUAGUAAGCGCAAGUCAUCAGCUUGCGUUGAUUACGUCCCUGCCCUUUGUACACACCGCCCGUCGCUCCUACCGAUUGAAUGGUCCGGUGAAGCGUUCGGACCGUGGCCUUUGGACGGUUCGCCGUCUGUUGGCUGCGGGAAGUUCGUUAAACCUUAUCAUUUAGAGGAAGGAGAAGUCGUAACA
rnacentral:rRNA from 1 species